AACGGGUCAGUAAGGGACCGGGCUCUCGAACUAGAGCUUCGGGGCAACUGGGUUUUCUUCGACCCGGAAUUAUUCGGGUACCGUAACGAAGCCGACCGAUCAAACGGCAAUGAACCGGAGCCGUUCUGUUGCUGAUGCUGCCUGAAAAGAAUGGCGGCAGCCAAAGCCUGCUCCUGAAUCGAAGAAUCAGUGCUGUCUUUGCGCGUGGACCGGAUCCGA
rnacentral:misc_RNA from 1 species